AUACGUAGGUGGCAAGCGUUGUCCGGAAUUAUUGGGCGUAAAGCGCGCGCAGGCGGUUUCUUAAGUCUGAUGUGAAAGCCCCCGGCUCAACCGGGGAGGGUCAUUGGAAACUGGGGAACUUGAGUGCAGAAGAGGAGAGUGGAAUUCCACGUGUAGCGGUGAAAUGCGUAGAGAUGUGGAGGAACACCAGUGGCGAAGGCGACUCUCUGGUCUGUAACUGACGCUGAGGCGCGAAAGCGUGGGGAGCGAACAGGAUUAGAUACCCUGGUAGUCCACGCCGUAAACGAUGAGUGCUAAGUGUUAGAGGGUUUCCGCCCUUUAGUGCUGCAGCAAACGCAUUAAGCACUCCGCCUGGGGAGUACGGUCGCAAGACUGAA
rnacentral:rRNA from 1 species